UACGGGGGGGAGCAAGCGUUGUUCGGAUUUACUGGGCGUAAAGGGCGCGUAGGCGGCCACCGCAAGUCGACUGUGAAAUCUCCGGGCUUAACCCGGAAAGGUCAGCCGAUACUGCGGGGCUAGAGUGCAGAAGGGGCAACUGGAAUUCUCGGUGUAGCGGUGAAAUGCGUAGAGUAUCUGGAGGAACACCGGUGGCGAAGGCGGCAUCCUGGACCAACACUGACACUGAGGAGCGAAAGCCAGGGGAG
rnacentral:rRNA from 1 species